rnacentral:rRNA from 1 species
UACGUAGGGCGCAAGCGUUGUCCGGAAUUAUUGGGCGUAAAGAGCUCGUAGGCGGCCAGUUGCGUCUGCUGUGAAAUCCCGGGGCUCAACCCCGGGCGUGCAGUGGAUACGGGCUGGCUAGAGGCAGGCAGGGGAGAACGGAAUUCCCGGUGUAGCGGUGAAAUGCGCAGAUAUCGGGAGGAACACCGGUGGCGAAGGCGGUUCUAUGGGCCUGUACUGACGCUGAGGAGCGAAAGCGUGGG